GCCUUCUGGGUUGUAAACUUCUUUUAUAGGGGAAAAAAAGUGGGGAUUUCGAAUGAUACUGACGGUACCAGACGAAUAAACACCGGCUAACUCCAUGCCAUCACCCGCGGUAAUACAGAAGGUGCGAGCGUUAUCCGGAUUCAAUGGGUUUAAAGGGUGCGUAGGCGGAUUGGUAAGUCAAUGCUGAAAUCACCGAGCUAAACUCAAAAACUGCCAUUGAUACUAUCUGUCUUGAAUAACGUUGAGGUAGGCGGAAUAUAUCAUGUAUCGGUGAAAUGCUUACAUAUGACAUAGAACACCCAUUGCGAAGGCAGCUUACUACCCGAUGAUUGACUCUGAGGCACGAAAGCGUGGGGAUCAAACAGGAUUAAAUACCCUGGUAGUCCACGCCCUAAACGAUGAUUACUCACACAUAUGCUAUACACAGUGUGUGUCUGAGCGAAAGCAUUAAGUAAUCCACCUGGGAAGUA
rnacentral:rRNA from 1 species